UACGAGGGGGGCGAGCGUUGUCCGGAAUUAUUGGGCGUAAAGAGCUCGUAGGCGGUCUGUCGCGUCGGCUGUGAAAACUCGGGGCUCAACUCCGAGCUUGCAGUCGAUACGGGCAGGCUAGAGUUCGGCAGGGGGAGACUGGAAUUCCUGGUGUAGCGGUGGAAUGCGCAGAUAUCAGGAGGAACACCAAUGGCGAAGGCAGAUCUCUGGGCCGUAACUGACGCUGAGGAGCGAAAGCAUGGGGAGCGAACAGG
rnacentral:rRNA from 1 species